CAUGCCGCGUGUGUGAAAAGGCCUUCGGGUUGUAAAGCACUUUUGUCCGGAAAGAAAACCUCCGCCCUAAUACGGUGGGGGGAUGACGGUACCGGAAGAAUAAGCACCGGCUAACUACGUGCCAGCAGCCGCGGUAAUACGUAGGGUGCAAGCGUUAAUCGGAAUUACUGGGCGUAAAGCGUGCGCAGGCGGUUCGCUAAGACCGAUGUGAAAUCCCCGGGCUUAACCUGGGAACUGCAUUGGUGACUGGCGGGCUAGAGUAUGGCAGAGGGGGGUAGAAUUCCACGUGUAGCAGUGAAAUGCGUAGAGAUGUGGAGGAAUACCGAUGGCGAAGGCAGCCCCCUGGGCCAAUACUGACGCUCAUGCACGAAAGCGUGGGGAGCAAACA
rnacentral:rRNA from 1 species